rnacentral:rRNA from 1 species
UACGGAGGGAGCUAGCGUUGUUCGGAAUUACUGGGCGUAAAGCGCGCGUAGGCGGCUUUGUAAGUUAGAGGUGAAAGCCCGGGGCUCAACCCCCGGAACUGCCUUUAAGACUGCAUCGCUUGAAUCCGGGAGAGGUGAGUGGAAUUCCGAGUGUAGAGGUGAAAUUCGUAGAUAUUCGGAAGAACACCAGUGGCGAAGGCGGCUCACUGGACCGGUAUUGACGCUGAUGUGCGAAAGCGUGGGGAGCAAACAGG